UACGAAGGGUGCAAGCGUUACUCGGAAUUACUGGGCGUAAAGCGUGCGUAGGUGGUGAGUUAAGUCUGAUGUGAAAUCCCCGGGCUCAACCUGGGAAUGGCAUUGGAUACUGGCUCGCUAGAGUGCGGUAGAGGGUGGUGGAAUUCCCGGUGUAGCAGUGAAAUGCGUAGAUAUCUGGAAGAACACCAAAGGCGAAGGCAGUGUCCUGGGUGGUCGCUGACGCUGAGAGGCGAAAGCCAGGGGAGCGAACGGG
rnacentral:rRNA from 1 species